rnacentral:rRNA from 1 species
AGCAGUAGCCGCGGGAAUACGUAGGUGGCAAGCGUUGUCCGGAAUUAUUGGGCGUAAAGGGCUCGCAGGCGGUUUCUUAAGUCUGAUGUGAAAGCCCCCGGCUCAACCGGGGAGGGUCAUUGGAGACUGGGAAACUUGAGUGCAGAAGAGGAGAGUGGAAUUCCACGUGUAGCGGUGAAAUGCGUAGAGAUGUGGAGGAACACCAGUGGCGAAGGCGACUCUCUGGUCUGUAACUGACGCUGAGGAGCGAAAGCGUGGGGAGCGAACAGGAUUAGAUACCCGCGUAGUCCCUGUCUCUUAUAA